rnacentral:lncRNA from 1 species
CCAAAAAUGUCUUUGACAGUUUCAUGCAAACCUCAGAAAAAAACUAUGAAUGUAGUUUUCAAAGAAGUUUUCAACAACCUUUAAGGUAUUUUUUUUUAUAGUUUUGAUGUCUUAGACAGUAAGAAUUUUUAUGUGUUAUUUUAAAAGAACAUACAAAAUCUUGCGUUCUUAGAUAGAAUUUAUGUUCUUUGCAGAUUUCAGUCAGUCAGAUGUUCUCUAGAGUGGAAAAAUGGUAGCUGUGUCACAAAGUUUUUUAUUAGUUAUGCAAACAACAUUUGUUCUUUUUUCCAAAAAAAAUCAUUUCAAUAACAACAGAGUUCUUUCUUUUUCGAG